GGCUGCGACGCGAAGAGUUGCCGGCCAGAAGAGCGAGCGAGGCGGAGAAGCGCGGACGAAAGGAGAGAGAGAAAGAGAGAGAGAGAAAAAAAAGAAAAAAGAAAGAAAGAACUGACCGUGCUCUCCAUUUGUUUACGUUUUGUGAUUUUAUUUUUUUUAUUUUCCUUUUAUUUUUAUUUUUUUUUUAAGUUUGUGUUUUGGUUUUAAGUUUGAUUUGAAGUGUGCGGUUUUGUCGCGGUCGGAUAUUUUGUUUUUUUUUUUUUUUUUAGGUUUUGUCUUUUCGUAUUUGGUGAUAGAGUUUAAUUGAAACACAAAUGAUAUGACAAAGAGAAGAGGGAUAAUAAGGUGAAAAUACCAUACCAUUUCUAGCCAAGAACAGAAUACCAGACGAGCCACUCAAAAAAAGAAAAAAAAAAUACCCAUCGAUUG